rnacentral:lncRNA from 1 species
CCUCUUUAAUUCUAGGUGACCAAAAAGGGAAAGAGAGAGAGAGGAAAGUGAAAAGUUGCCUACACAAAUGCAAGUCCUCAAACCAUUGGUCAGGAUUGACCUUAGUAAUGGAGGGAAGAAGCUUUGAGUUUACUUUAUGCUACCAAAAUUACACUGUUCAUAUAGCUUAUAGAUCCUGAAAAGCUACCACAUAUUUUCAAACCACCAUAGCUUUCCAACUCCCAGAAAGUUUCUUAAAUUUAGCACUCCUCUGUCUACAACCCAAAUCCAGACAAGAUUCUCAUCUGAAAUAGCUUGCUUUUGUACAGAAUUUGUGUGGGCAUGAUAAUGUCCUUGUCCUUCCAAAUCCUGGACCUCCAGGAAUAUGCCAGAUUCAGUAAAGAAAAAGCUCAGAACCUGUAAUACUGAACCCCAUGAGCAAGAACUUCCUUGGGAGCCAGUGCUCAA